UACGAAGGGGGGCUAGCGUUGUUCGGAAUCACUGGGCGUAAAGCGCACGUAGGCGGAUGUGCCAGUCAGGGGUGAAAUCCCGGAGCUCAACUCCGGAACUGCCUCUGAUACAGCACGUCUUGAGUUCGAGAGAGGUGGGUGGAAUUCCUAGUGUAGAGGUGAAAUUCGUAGAUAUUAGGAAGAACACCGGUGGCGAAGGCGGCCCACUGGCUCGAUACUGACGCUGAGGUGCGAAAGGCGUGGGGAGC
rnacentral:rRNA from 1 species